rnacentral:lncRNA from 10 species
CGCUCAGAAUUUAGAACAGCACCUGGCAUAUGGGUCUCACUCUUUUGCCCAGGCUGGAGUGCAUGGGCGCAAUCUUGGCUCACUGCAGCAUCGACCUCCCAGACUGAAUCGCUCCUCCCACCUCAGCCUCAGGAGUAGCUGGGACUACAGGCGCAUGUCACCAUGCCAGGCUAAGUUUUGUGUUUUUGGUAGAGACAGGGUUUCACCAUGUUGCUCAGGCUAGUCUCAAACUCCUGGGCUCAAGCAAUCUGCCCGCCGCAGCUUCCCGAAGUGCUGGGAUUCCAUGUGUGAGCCAUCGCUCUCAGCCUGAUAAUUUUCUUAAAAUUGCCAGUGCUACUGUAAGAGACAUAGUUAAGUUUAUAUUAAAAGGAAAACCAAGGUAUUGCUUAGUUGUCAUAAAGUUGUGUGAAGAUUAAGUGAAAUAUGUUAGUGGUUUUCUCACAGAGUAUACACACAGAGAGUUACACUUUACACAGAAAUCUAUAUAUCCCACAAGUAAACUGAUUUUAAGGGAAUCAUUUUCUAGUUUCCCAAUUUCCAUAUGUAUGAUGUCUUAAAUUUUGUAUGCCUGAGAAACAAUGCAAUCAAGGCAUCCCGCUGGUUCUUCUGUCUCAACUCCUCUGUUUCAACAGUCUUUCCCUUACUUUCGAAAAAAAGCAUAUUUUUCAUUGAUCUCAAAUAUUACAAUAACAUAUACAUAGAAUAUAAAAAUUUGGGGAUACCA